rnacentral:misc_RNA from 1 species
UUAAGUUCAGCGGGUAGUCCUACCUGAUUUGAGGUCAGAUUGUCAAGUAAUUGUCCUUGCGGACGGUUGUAAGCUCGAACACUAAUUGACUUCACACCACAGCGCAGAUAAUUAUCACACUGAAGGCGAUCCGUCAGGUUCACGCUAAUGCAUUUGAGAGGAGUCCACUCUUGCGAGCCGACACAGACCUCCAAGUCCAA